GCGGAUAUUUCCAAAUUAGGAUAACCAAGUUCUCUUCUCGCUUUUAUUUUUGAUCAAAUUAGCCGUCAAACACCCUCUUUAUUUUUUUUAGUGAACUCUAUCAACGUCCACUACCCACACGCCACCAUCUCUCCAUCUCCUUUCACCCAAAAACCACUACUACUCUCCCUUCCUCCUUUUUUUCUAUUUCCACUCUGGUGAGGAGCUUCAAGAUCCAAUAAACUGAGCUCCGUCUAAACUCUCUUAUCCUUUGCUCGGCUUCUCCACCAUUGAUGUGAGCUUGAAGCUCCAACAAUGAAGAAACAACAAAAGAUGUCUUACUCUGACAAACCCCAAAAUAUUGGAGAAACAAACCAGACCCAUAACAUUUCUCCCCUCCCUUUUUCUGAUGAAACAGACCCCAAAACACAAAACAGUGAUACCACAACAACAACUAAACCCAGAAAACACCACCCUCCAUAAAACUAGCACUGUCUUUUGCAACUCUGGUGGUGAUUAACUUUUCAUGAAAUAACAACCACGACCUUCAUGUUGCUCACCAAAACAACAACCCUGAACUAGAUCUGUCCUGAACGAUUUAGCCAGAAAGUUAGACUCAGGUGACCCCUUUUUGCCUUUUUAUAUUUUUGCUAUUAUUUAUAUGUUUUGUCGUUUCCAAGUGUGCUCUCUUUUUUUGAACUAUUUUCUUUACCUUCUUUUACUGAUUUUGUGUUAAUUUUAUUUAAAAUUUUGCUAUGUCGAGAUUUAAGUAUCUCCGAUGAACUAUCUUGAACCAUUAGUUAAUCUUUGUUGAAUUUUAAUAUCUUUUCCGUAUUUAAUUCACCAACUACUGCCACAUUGAUAUUUCAAGUUGUUUAACUUGUUGUCUUUAUUCUUUUUAUACAUUUAUAUGUUUUUCUAGAUCUAUAUUUUUAAUUUUUAUGAGUUGUUUGUUGGAAUAUUUUUUCUUUAUAUUUUCAUAAAAGGGGUGCACAAAUCAAUUUAAUUGGUUAAAGUUCUCCUUAUGUUAUUUAUGUUUCUCUUAAUGAUUGGAAAUAUUUUUCAUUAACAUACGGUCUCAGUUUUUCAUUUUUGCUCACUGUUUCAUCAACUUAUGAAUUUAUUCUUGCUAAUGAUUUAUUUUACUUUUGGUAUUUUUUAAAAUUAUUUGGUUUAUUUCAGUGAUUUAUUUUAAUGUUGAAAAGACUUUUAUAAGAGUGUGUUCAUUUUGCAAUAGUAUUGUUUGGAGGCAUUCUCAGUUAUAACUAAUUGAUUGUUUAAGUGGAUAAGAAAAAAAUAUUUUUGUCUGAUUUUUUAGGCCUCCUCUUAACAAAGAUAAUUUAAUUUUUAUGUUCAAUUAUAUAAUAUCAAAAGUUUUGAUUUACUUGGCUGAUGAAGAAAUUUCCAUUGAUUUUCAAGGUCUCCCAUGUAUACAAGAUGAGUUUUACUUUUUGUUUAUUAUUUUUUAAUUCAUUUUGAUAGACAAAUAGGAGGUCGUCUUCGUUAUUCAUGUCUUACUUUAUUUUUUAUAUAUAUUUUAUAUUUAUUAUACAUGUGUAAAUGAAUUUUUAUCUCCUCCUCAAUUAAAAAAAUGAGUUUAGUCAGAACCCACUUUUGUAGAUUUCGAAGAGUGCCCAAUACCUUCCGUUUGGAAUAACUUGAAUCUUUACCUAAAAUCUAAUUGGUCAUGCAAUUUUUUUUUUCAAUUUAAUCAAUUGGUUUCUUAGUUUUCCUAAAAUUCUGUGGCGACUCUCUAAACAUUUUUACAAUAAUUAAUUAAUUAUUUUCAUAUUCCUAAAGUUGUGCUUUAUGAAAAUAAGAAUGUGACUCUUUUAUUAGCUUUUGAAUGGGUGAAGUAUGGGUGUUCUGCCAAUCUUUGUCAACACAGACCAGUUUCUGUUCUAUUUCCUGAUAUAAUAAAAACAACUCAAAAGACAACUAUGUUAGAUCCUAUUAAUGAUAGAUAAUAUAGAAUAUCUUGACAUAAAGUAAAUACUUAAGAGUUGAUUUAUUGAAGGUGAAUUGGCCCACGGGCGAAUACAAACUCAAAGAGAUUUCAACGGAUAGGACUUCCUCCAUCGAUUUUGAGUAAUCGGAUUUGACACGAUGGAUGAUUUAUAUUGUACCUUUUCUCCUCUUAUUGUCCAUUGAAAUUUCAAUAUCCUUGCCAAAAUAGGGGUAGUAAAAAAAAUUUAAAGGAUAGGGGUCGGCCCCUAGAAAAACUACCUAUAUAUCUUAGUAAAGAUAAAUCAAGCCCUAUGUAGUUCGAAUAUGUAAGGGAUAAGGUCUUUUUAUUUAUUUCACUUUAUCCACCAUGUUCCAUUAGAAGAGAAAAUACAAAAAGGCCAUGAAAAUAAUAGCUAAAAGGAAAAUUUUACUACAUUUGAAGAACUAUUUGAUAGUGGUAGACACUUCCUUCAUUCGGCCUUCUACUUUCAAGAAUAAUAUGGUGGAAACUCAAACUGAAUGCUUAUUAUCUCAACAAAGUGUUCCAGGUUGACUCAAAAUGUGAAUAAGAUUUAAUGUCAUCACCUCUUAUCCUAGAAAGAUAAAGACAAACAUUUUUACCAUAGCGCCAACCCCCAUACAUUUUUCCAACCUUUCCCUCAAUAGGUUUUAUUAUUAUUAUCUUAGCAUGAACCAAAUCUGCAUAGAUAUUAUGGUAGGUCUCUUAGAAAACAACGAAUUCAUAGUUGUAGAUGAGAACAUCUUCACUAUUUAGCAUGCCAAGUCCAACUCUGUCGCAUGCUAGUAUAGUCUACGGACCCCACAUAUUUCUAAUUUAGACAUUGUUGAUGAUUUGAUUAAUUCUAGCCCUCAAGCACUGUAUUCGUUAGUGGUAAGGUGUGCAUCAGUCAGUUCGGUUUGAUUUUAUAUAUUAUUGGUUUGGUUUAUCGAUUUUAAAUUUUUAAAUAUGCUAAACCAAUAACUAAAUCAAUAAGAUAUUUUUUAUCGGUUUUUAAUUUAUCAAUUUAUUGGUUUUUAGUUCUUAAUGGUUUGGUUUUCGAUUUAACCGAUAAGAAAAUACUCAUAAAAUAGAAAUAGUAAUAACUAACAUGAAAUAAAAUCGAAUCUUAGUUGCAACCAAAAAUCCUACAUGAUGUGUUUUAAUUUACAAGAAUUUUCAAGUUUGGACUAAAUGUUAGGAGAAAUUACGAGUCUGUAUAAUUGAAAUAAUAGGUUUGUUAAUUUGUAGAAAUUAAAGAGAAAUUAAGAGAAAAAUAUAAUAAGUCAUAUAUAUAUAUAUAUAUUUAUUUAUUUAUUUAUAUUGGGUUAUCGGUUUACCAUUAAAAAUCGUUAACCUAACAACCCAAUAACAAUAAACCAAUAACAUUUUUAUCGGUCUGUUCGAUUUUUGCACACCCUUAAUUAGUGGUAUGAACCCUAUGACAUGGGCGGUAAGAAUAUUUUUUAUAUUCAUCUCUGUUUUUAUACCUAAAUCCUUUUGUUUGAUCAUCAUGAAGAAUCCCAAGUGACUUCAAGGUUAGAUAGAUGUCAGAGUAUAACACAACUUUGAGGUUUCUUAUCAACUCUUGAGAAUAGAUCCUAAGAAUAAUCUGCUCUUUCCGCCAAAAUAUUGUUGGACAAAUAUCACCGUCCUCAAUCUUGGCCCGAUGUUAAUUCCUGAGAUGGAAAGUUGGACUUGUUAAACACUCUCCUCUUCAGAUUACUCAUUUGUGUUUGUUGCUACAGUAGCUCUCAUGAGUAUCAUCUUUUUUUUUUUGUCGCCUCUUCAACUAAUCUUGUUCUUACUUGUGCUGUCAUUCGGUCAACUGUGGCCAUUUUUUCCUCAAUCAAAGCUAUUUCCUAACCCAUCCUUUGGGACUUUGCGAACAAUGCUUUCUUGAUUUGUUCCACUUUCUCCAUUACUUUCCGUUGUUAUAUAUAUGCCUCCUUUGUUAUCUAUAUAUCAAUAUCCUCUUUUCUUUUUCACAUAGCCUCUUCAGUGUCCAUGAUCAGUCAACUCUUGAAAGGAAUUAAUAGAAUUUAGAGGUUUUUGCAUAAAGGUUUUUAAGGUUCUCUGAAAAACAUGAAAGACUUGGAGUACUUGGUCAGACUAUAUGUAGGGGGCUUAUAUUUCUACCUAGGAACUCUAAAAGAUAUUAUAUAGGAUUGGAUAAAUUCACCUUUCAUAUAAGCAACACACAUAAACACAUAAGAUGGUUAUAUCACGUAAUAAUAUAAUACAUAGCACUUCCUAACUUGCUGACCUUUUUAUCCCAAAGGUGGCCUAAAAAUUUGAAAGUCGUGUGUGUCGUAUUGAAUCGUUCAAUUCCCCCAAAAUAAGAUUUAAUAUCAGGAAGUGAUAGGAAAGGAAGUUUGUCUAGUGUAUGAAUGCUUUGGUCUAUCAACUAGGUUUCCAAGGCACUAGAAUGAGUUUCAAUCCUAUUAAGAGUGGGCCGAAAUCUUCUCAAAAUUGAUAAAAAAAAAAAAGUGGCUUGACUUUAAUUAAAUUCAAAAACUGAGAAAAUUCUCAAAUUUAACUAAAAUAUGGAGUCAUCACUUAAUAUAUUAAGGAAAAUAAAGAAAACCUCUGAAAAAAAUCCUUAAAGACUUGACAUUAAAAGACUUCAAUAUUCAAGAAAUUUCAAGUAAGAGUUCAAAUUAAUACUUUUGAAAGAUUGUCAAGGGACCAAGAAUAUCUGUUAACUUGCAAUUAUCCAUUUAUUUCUAAAAAUACGUGUUUCGGACUAACUUUAAAAAAUUGUUUAGAUAAGGAAAAGACUUAAAUGUUUUUGAAAGUUUUUUAAACAAAAUAAAAUCCCAUUUGCUAGGAAAAUCACUUAUUGAGAAAUUAUUAUAGACGAGAAACGAUUUAUAGAUACUCCCUCCGUUUCGAAUUAGUUAGCCCCUAUAGACUUGGCACACCCAUUAAGAAAAUAUUAAUUAGGUGUUUAUUGUACCAAAUUAACCUUAUUAAUUAUUCUUUGAAAAUAUAAAUUUGAAUAAAUAUACUUUGUUUAGUCAUUUAAUGUUGAGGGUAGUAUUGAAAAACAUAAUAAAAUUCUCUUGUUUUCAUCAAAGGGACUACUAAAUUGAAACAAAUAUUUUUAGAAAGAGAACCAACUAAAACGAAAUAGAGGGAGUAUUAUUUUUGAGCGAUUCAAUUUUUAAAGAAAAGGUUGGGUGAUUUAAACGAAUUCAAGUGUAGAUUUUAAGAUAAAAGAACUUGUUAAGAUUUUAAGAUUGAUUGACCAAUUUAAAAGAAUAAUAUCAGGCAAUAGAUGAUUUCAUUUGUGAAAAGAUGGUACUCCAAUGAAAAAUCUACUAAGGUUAUAUUAGUAUCUAUAAAAUAUCAUAAAAAUAUACAAAAUAAAUAAAGGGAAGGGAAAAGGUGGAGUUUAAGCAAUUUAGCCCAAAACUCCUAAGUAUCUGAUUUAGAGCCCGCUGAUAGGAUUAAAAAAAUUAGAUUUUAGCGUAUGUGCUUAAAAGUUGAAAAUAAGUGUUUAUAAAUUAAGCAGAUAAGUGUUGCAUAGAAGUGCUGAAACUGAAAAAAAGUUGUUGAUGUGUUUGGUAAACAAGUGUUGUUAAUCAUUUUUUUAUUGUCAAAAUAACUUAAAAGUCCUUAAAGUUGUUAACACCAUAAAUAAGUUGAAUUUAUAUAAUUUUUAAUUCUAAUAAUUCAAAACAAAGGAGAAGAAAGAUGAAGAGGAAAUUGCAAGGAAUAGAUGGAGAGAAGCAACAAAGAGAAAAAGAAAGAAAAAAUUAUAUACUUAAUGGUUACAAAUUUAGGGUAUUGUUGGAAUUGGAGGAAAAUAUAAGGAAUAAAAAGGUAAAUUUCUUGGUCAAAUUUAAAAGAAUUUAAUCUAAAAAGUAAGAAGUUAAGGGUACCCAGCUUCUUACUUUUUGCUUUUUAAUUAUUUUUAGUUUUUUCAAUUAUUUUUUUAUUUUAUCAAACACCUAAGAAAAAAUUAAAAAGAGAUUAAAAGUUGGUUUGACCAGAUUUUAAUUCUAUCCAAACGGGCUCUUAAACUUCUAAAAUAUAUGUUGGGCCUAGCUCAUUUUCGCUGCAUAUCUACUGAAUAACUUGCUAUAACAAUGGAAAAAUUACACAAAACCACAAACCUAAGACACCUUAUUACCCAAAAUACCUUAUCUUUUAAACAACUACUUAAUAUUCGGAUUUAAUAUUUUACUCUUGAUACAUAUGAACAAAACAUUCAUCCUACUUUUACUCCAUAAUUAAUCCAUGCAAUUCAUUAUUUUUCCAAAAAUUUCAUCCCCUAAAAUCUCUCCCAAAUUAUCAUCAAUUAAUACAACUUUCAUCUCCAUUACUGUAACCUCUUCACUUAAGCAAUCAUUGUCUUUUUUUAUCUUUUUAUCAACUUUUCUUUUAUCAAGGUGGCGGUGAUGGGGCGGAUGAAUGAAGAAAGGGAUGGGGUAGUCAAGGUGGCGGUGAUGGUGCAGAUGAACGACAGAAGGGAUGGGGUAGUCAAGGUGGUGGUGAUGGUGCGGAUGAACGACGAAGGGUGGUGGUGGUGGAUUAUAUGUAUCAAUCAUAAAUAAAUUGAACAAUCAGUUGUUAGAUUUUCGACGAGAAUGAUCAAAGUGGCGAUGGUGGUGAGGACGAAUAACGGAGGGGAUGGGGUAGCUAAGGUGGUGGUGAUGGUGCGAACGAACGAUAGAGGGGUGGUGGUGGUAGAUUAUAUGUAUCAAUCAUAAGUAUCAAGAAAUAUACAUAUGUAUCAAUUAUAUGUAUCAAAUAAAUGUAUUUAAUAUCAAUAUAGAUAUAUAUAUCAAGAACUUGUG
rnacentral:lncRNA from 1 species